GCAAAAUGCAAGUUUGAAGAAGCACCCAAGGUGGUGCCCGGGCUUCUCCCGUUU
rnacentral:tRNA from 1 species